rnacentral:tRNA from 1 species
GCCCGGGUGGUGGAACUGGUCAGACACGGCCGGCUUAAACCCGGCUGCCCGCGAGGGCAUGGGGGUUCGAGUCCCUCCCCGGGCA